AAGCAUGGCACUGAAGAUGCCAAGAUGGCUGCCAUUCAUGCACCCGAGGACA
rnacentral:tRNA from 1 species